rnacentral:rRNA from 1 species
AUUGAACGCUGGCGGCAGGCCUAACACAUGCAAGUCGAGCGAGCGGCGGACGGGUGAGUAAUGUCUGGGAAACUGCGUGAUGGAGGGGGGUAACACCUGGAAACAGGAUCUAAAAUACCAUACAAUCAAAUGUGCCCACAUGGGAUUGGAUAGUAGGUGGGGUAACGGCUCCCCUAGUCGACGAUCCCUCGCUGGUCUGAGCGGAUGACCAGCCAACCUGGAACUGAGACACGGUCCAGACUCCUACGGGAGGCAGCAGUGGGGAAUAUUGCACAAUGGGCGCAAGCCUGAUGCAGCCAUGCCGCGUGUGUGAAGAAGGCCUUCGGGUUGUAAAGCACUUUCAGCGGGGAGGCGUUACCCGCAGAAGAAGCACCGGCUAACUCCGUGCCAGCCGCCGCGGUAAUUC